UGAGCCACCGACACUCACCAUCCUGCUCAGCCCCUGGGAUGAAAUCGGGCUGGCCCCGAUCUUUCCUCAACUGCGACUGCUGGAGGACCCAGCAGAUUGGUGCCCUGUGUGAGGAAAUUAGGCUCCCCACACGAAGAUCGCUGACGGGCCAAUCGGUCUGCAGAUAAUAACAGUUUAUAUAGCAACAGGCAGAAGAAGCCCAAUUGAGGGAUACAUGACUCUGUCUAACAAAGGCCUGGGUGCCCGGAGCUUUCUUCAUUCAUCUGGCAAGAAGCAAUGACUUAUCUCUCCUCAACAAAGGAUUACACAUGUUCCCCCACUCACAAUAACCCAAUAAAUUCAUCAUCAG